UGAGUCUUCCGUAGGUGAACCUGCGGAAGGAUCAUUAC
rnacentral:rRNA from 1 species